UACAAUUAUAGAAAUGAACUUCGUUAACCAAUUUCUGCUUAGCUUUGUUUUCUUUUUCUAAAUAUUCUUGAUUUUAAAACAAAUACUUAAUUUUUGACGCAGUGUUCAUGAUAAUUCAUUAUUAUGCAAAUCUAAUAAACUUCCAAUUUGAAUAUUUUUUUGGAAAUCAAAUUUUUUUGUUAUAUAAUUUUUAAUUAGAAAUAGAAAUACAUUUUUUCAUUAAAAACAAUUGUUAUGAUGGAAUCAAAUCUAGCCGCAGUUUCAAGUUUAAUUGCAACUCUGCACCCCCUGUCAACUUUGACCGACAACAUUUUGACCGAAUUGGCGCUUCUGUUUGUGGUUUUGAUUUCAAAUUUAAUACUCAUCCACAAAUUACUUAUCCCUAAGGACUGCAAAAUAUACCGCAAAACGCUCUUUCGGGGAGUGUCUUCAAUGAUAACAGUUACUUCCUCAUUUUCGCUACUUUCUCUUUUUUUCUCUCUUAACGAGUCAAAAUUUCAAAACCAAAAUCUUAAUAAUUUUAUAAAAAUUUCAACAAACGGAGCUUUAUUGAGUUUCUACGUUACAUUGCCUUGCAUGUUUUACCAUAUGCAGUUUCAAGUUAAAAACGCGAUUUUGAACUCGUUGCCGAGUUUGACUUCGCCGCGACAACUUUCGGACAAUUCAUCAUUCGGACAAUUAGCGAGGCUUAAGAUUUAUUGGCCUCACAGACCAUUGCAUAUUCACUUGAUGCUUUUGUCGGGGGUAAUUUAUUCGAUCUUUAAUUUCUACAAAAUGGACAAAACUGGGCUAAGAGCGGAUAUAUCAAGUCAGGUAAACACGACAUCAUCAGUUCAAGGAUAUCCGAUCAUACUAGCUGCACUCAACUGCAUGUUUCAUCUCAUACCCGUAGUCUCAAACUUCAAACUUGUUCAAACACACCUUCACUCCUACAAACAAACCGAAGUGAACAACUAUUACGUCAUCAUCAAAGCACACCAAUUUUCAUCUGUAGUUUACAUUUGUGUAAUUUCACUCAUAAUACCACACACACUUUCGUUGAUUAAUGAAAUAGUUUUACCAGAACUGGUUAGUACUCCGAUUAGUUUUGUAAAUAAUGUCAACUCAGUGUUACUCAUUUGUUCUUUUUUGGUUCUGCCGAUUGCUUAUGCUAUUAUGUACAACAGAUCAUAAGUUUAACUUCAUUUCAACUCGUAAUAAAUUCAUUUUUAAAAU